ensembl:lncRNA
UAAAGAAUUUCUUUUGAAAUUUCCUGGAAGGCGGUUGUGCUGGGGUCGCAUCCCAUCAGAAUCACUUCCAUUUUUCUCUUCAUCUGCUGGCGAGCUUGGUAACGCUCUUGUCCUGCACGCUUUGGGCUGUGUGCCAGGUUCACCUGGUUGGCAGAAUUGCAGUUACCACAAGACAACUGCAGCUGUGUCAAGCUGCAACCCUAUACCUGCUUUCAGAUUUUUGGAUGGAUACCCAGAAAUGGGAUCGCUAGCUCACACGGCCCUCACAGACACACCCAGAAGUAAAGAAUAAUAUAUAAAUAGCUUCCUGGGGAUCCUUCAGAAUGUCUUCCUGUUUGUGUAUCCUCUACUAUCAAUGCAAAGUACCUCUCAUCCAAUUUUCCACAGUCAACCCAAUGCGAAUACAAUCGACCCUCUGCGUCCUACUGUUCUGCAUCCCUGGAUUCAACCAACCAUCCAUUGAAGAUAUUUGGAAACAAAAACUGCACUUCUAGAGCAGCAAGAGACAUAGCACUCCUCCCCUGCAGAGACCACAGAAUCAUGGCGUCAUCUUGGAAGCAAAGAACAGCCCUCACCAGACACUAAACCUGUUGGCACUUUGAUGUUGGACUUCCCAGCAUCCAGAACUCUAAAAACUAAAAUUACUCAGUGCUUGUUAUUUUGUUCUAGCACACAAAUGGACUAAGAUAUUGCUAUAUUUUCUAGUGUUGAAAAUACAUUCAAUGUAACAAUUGCCCUCAGAUGUUGUCUAACAUAUAACUAAGAUCUAAAAAAUGCAACAAAAGCUUUGUGUUUUAGACUGGUGUUGUAUAUAAGAGUAAGAGGAGAGACAGGAAACUAGCCUGAUUUGAGAGGGAUGUAUUUGGGGCACCCAGUGUAACACCACACACAUAGAAGCCAAUAAAUAAAUGUUUGUUGAGUUAAUAAAAAGUGAGGUCUGUGAACAGGGGACUUUAUUAUUAUGGGAGGCACAGGGUGCAGUAGAAAUGGCUCUGGCCUUGAGGACACAUCUGUCCUGCACAUCUUUUGCUGCUCCUUCAUCCACUCCAGCCCUUAUGUACCUUAUGUACCUUAUGUACCCAUGAUGGCCUCCACUUGAGCUCUCUCCCCUUCUGGCUCUCAGAUAGGUAGGGCCAGUGGGGAGCAAUGGGAGAGGUCAGAGGGAGAAGGGAAGAGAAGGAGGCCACAGUACUCAAUCCUUGACCCCUUCCUUGUAAUGUCUAGGGAUAGCUGUGUCUCCCAAUCACAAGCCACUGUCCUGCCCUUUUUGACCUCCGACCCCAUCAACAUUCCAAGGGUGGAAAUGGUGAGGUUGGUGCUCUCCUCUGGGCACUGUUGUAACCUGUGGCUUCCCAACACCCUGCUGUAAACAGUCUUUUGAUGAAAGUCUUCUCAAAUUGCUUAAUUUGGACAGUGACAGCCUUUCCCACAUGGGCCUGUACAGCUAUGCUUGUUCAUAGGGAACACUUGGUUUUGUGCAGUAAAAAUCCAGUGAAGUGUGUUAAAGAAAAAAGCAAAGACAUGGGGUGAUGCAUGAGAAGCUGUUGAGUAACUUCUAGGGCCCAGAGGCAAGGUCAUCAGAACCCUUCCCAUGUGGUGCCAGAACUGGAACUAGAAGGUCAGCAGGAAGUAAAAUGGCCAUGCAAGGCACCCCCCAGGCCUCAGUGGGGCUUUCAUAGCUGCUUCCCUCUGCAUGUCCCCCUGUCUCUCCCCACUAGCCAUGCCUGUCUCUCUUGGUUUCCCUGGUGAGAGAUGUUCCUCCCUUAAUUUACAGGUUCACAUGUUCUUAACUCAACUCACUAAGGUUCACAAUGCCUCUUAGGCCUUAAAAGAAUAACUAGGCUUUUCCACACAGGGCCAACACUCCACGCUUAUCCAAUUAGCUAUGGCAGGAGGAUCUGGGUCUGUUGUAUUUCUGCCUUCAUGAAUGAGGAAACAGUGGUAUAGUUACAUAAUUUUUAAGGUCACAUGGUGGUAGGACAAG